AUAGAAUUCGUCCUCGAAUUCUUAGUUGCGAAAUUGCUCGUCUUCACAACAUUCUCCAAGCGUCUCCAUAACCUCUUUACUCUGUCCACAACUGUUCCUUGAGUGUCCUCCUCAAGGUCUCCACAAUCGUCUUCAUAUCUCUUGACUUGAAUGAUCACUGUGUCUUCUUCUUAGUUUUUACUUUGCUGCCCAACUAAUUUCCCAUGAUACGAUCUUGCCAAUCUGCGCCUCUGAUUACUCCAACCAUUUCCUCGAUCUCUCAUUUACCAGAUACUGAUGAAGUCCUUCCCCAAUGAAGUCUUGUUUCCUCCCAUCUCUCCAGUCCAUACCACUGUCCAAUUCUCUGAAUCUGCCUCCACUCUUUCGCUUCGGGUUUGGGUUUGGCCUCGAACUCUCUCCACUUUAAGGUUUUCAUCCCUUAAAGUACCGAUCAACAAACGCACUUACUCGCUGCAACUCAAAAGAACACCUAACAUGCAAGUUAGUAGACAAUUAAUCAAAUAAUCUACUAACCUAGAAAAUACUAACUAUGCAACCUAACCGCAAUUCUAACCAGCAACCUAACAGUUCUAACCAAGCAACCUA
rnacentral:lncRNA from 1 species